rnacentral:rRNA from 1 species
UACGUAGGGGUGCGAGCGUUAAUCGGAAUUACUGGGCGUAAAGCGUGCGCCAGGCGGUUUUGUAAGUCUGUCGUGAAAGCCCCGGGCUCAACCUGGGAAUUGCGAUGGAGACUGCAAGGCUUGAAUCUGGCAGAGGGGGGUAGAAUUCCACGUGUAGCAGUGAAAUGCGUAGAGAUGUGGAGGAACACCGAUGGCGAAGGCAGCCCCCUGGGUCAAGAUUGACGCUCAUGCACGAAAGCGUGGGGAGCAAACAGG